AGAAGAGGUACAAGGAGAUGAGA
rnacentral:miRNA from 1 species